GACGAACGCUGGCGGCGUGCUUAACACAUGCAAGUCGAACGGUAAGGCCCUUCGGGGUACACGAGUGGCGAACGGUGAGUAACACGUGGGUGAUCUGCCCUGCACUUCGGGAUAAGCCUGGGAAACUGGGUCUAAUACCGGAUAGGACCACUGCCUGCAUGGGUGGUGGUGGAAAGCUUUUGCGGUGUGGGAUGGGCCCGCGGCCUAUCAGCUUGUUGGUGGGGUGAUGGCCUACCAAGGCGACGACGGGUAGCCGGCCUGAGAGGGUGACCGGCCACACUGGGACUGAGAUACGGCCCAGACUCCGACGGGAGGCAGCAGUGGGGAAUAUUGCACAAUGGGCGCAAGCCUGAUGCAGCGACGCCGCGUGAGGGAUGACGGCCUUCGGGUUGUAAACCUCUUUCAGCACCGACGAAGCGCAAGUGACGGUAGGUGCAGAAGAAGGACCGGCCAACUACGUGCCAGCAGCCGCCGUAA
rnacentral:rRNA from 1 species